CCACUUUAGUACAGCAGCCUGCUCAGUCUCUAUGGGGGCACUGUUUCCACAGGGGUCUCCUGGUUCAUUCUCACAGCCUCCUGUGAAGUGAGCCCAGAGACCUACCUGCCGCUGCAGCCCUAGUGCCAGACGCAGAGUCUGGCCCGUGGUGAGUGCCCCAGCAUUAAUAGCAGUUACCAUAACACCUCACAUCACUUUCUAUUACCAACCUCAGAUUCUGAGUAAUCUCACCUUUCGGAUCCACCCUGUGAGAGCACAACCAUCAAAUGAGGAAGUGGGAAGAGAGAAUGAGAUGCAAGGAUGAUAGAGACAACAGCCCUACCCUUGUGGCUGUGGAAGCUGAAGGUCUUAAUUAUGGGAAAUAGAGCUUCCUAACCAGGCCACUUCUCCUGGGCAUCUGCCGAGCACGACAUGGCUAGAGAGGGUCACACCAGGAUGACCUGGGGCCUGUGUGGCCAGGCUUUCCUGUUUGCUCUGACAUUCUCCCUUGUCCUGCAUUUCUAAAGACCCCCUGUGAGGCCUCUAGCCACUAAGAUCUCUGGAUAUUAGCCACAGGCUUCUCUUCUUUUCUCCUUAAAUAUAAUUCCAGAAUCUUCUUUGUCCCUAUUCCAAAUUCUAUUGCCAAAUCUAGAAUCUGGGAGAACAGCACUUAACCCAAGGGCAUCUUUGCUUAAACAGAGUGACUUUCCCAUGGCAGUGAGCAGAAAUUUCUGCGUGUCUGUCCAUUCUCCUGUUUUCUCCAUGGAUACAAGGUGUAACUGACCACAGCAGCUCACAGUGCUAACCACUGAGCAACAGCAUUUGAUGAGCUGAGUUGUGUGGCUAGCUUGCUACCACCAGGCCCCAAGUCCUGAGCCCCAAAGGAAAGGGGAAAGAUAACAUUUCGACAGACAGAAGAACACAGCGGAAGUUAACAAGUGCCUCUUCCAGCACAGUAUCUCCCUCUGAAGCCUCCCACCCCUUCAGAGGACAACUGUGCAGAAGCCCACAGUGGGCCUCUGUAACAGCCAGCCCCAGUGCCCAGGUAAACCAAGCACCAGGCUGAGCAGGCAUGGGCACCUGCUUGUCAUGUCUUAUUUACCAUGAGCAGUGAAACAAGGGCUCUUGCCAUUCCUACCUGUUG
rnacentral:lncRNA from 1 species